UAAGACGGAGGGCGCGAGCGUUGUUCGGAAUCACUGGGCGUAAAGCGCACGCAGGCGGUCUCUUAAGUCCACUGUUAAAUCACGGGGCUCAACCCCGGAGGUGCAGUGGAUACUGAGGGACUGGAGACCGGUAGAGGCUAGCGGAAUUCCUGGUGUAGCGGUGGAAUGCGUAGAUAUCAGGAGGAACACCGGUGGCGAAGGCGGCUAGCUGGGCCGGUUCUGACGCUCAUGUGCGAAAGCGUGGGGAGCAAACAGGAUUAGAUACCCUGGUAGUCCACGCCGUAAACGAUGGGCACUAGAUGCCGGGCUCUUCGACGAGUUCGGUGUCGUAGCUAACGCAUUAAGUGCCCCGCCUGGGGAGUACGGCCGCAAGGCUG
rnacentral:rRNA from 1 species